UACGUAGGGUGCGAGCGUUGUCCGGAAUUAUUGGGCGUAAAGGGCUUGUAGGCGGUUUGUCGCGUCUGCUGUGAAAAUCCGAGGCUCAACCUCGGACUUGCAGUGGGUACGGGCAGACUAGAGUGUGGUAGGGGAGACUGGAAUUCCUGGUGUAGCGGUGGAAUGCGCAGAUAUCAGGAGGAACACCGAUGGCGAAGGCAGGUCUCUGGGCCAAUACUGACGCUGAGAAGCGAAAGCAUGGGGAGCGAACAGG
rnacentral:rRNA from 1 species